GCCUUCAAGUUAAAUUUCUCAAGUUUCGUUCUUAACGUACGAAAGAUUUUGUUAAAAUCGAAGUUUUAAUCCGCUGCACUAAUUCACCCCCCCCUCUUAGUGCCGCUCCGAUCCUAACACUUGUCACCAUUUGAGAUGUUUGAUUUGGGCUGAGGCAGUGGAUAGCUAUUCAGAAUUAUGGGCAAGUCUUGUUGGUUGUUAUGCUAUUGUUGUAUAAGCAUAUUUUGUAUGUAAUGAAAUGUUGUUGAUGAAUCGAAAUGGAUAUACUGUGUAAAAGUGUUAGAAGAUCUCUCUUAUUUGGAAUUUCAGAAUGUUAAGUCUAAUUUAUGACGAUAUGAACUUGUGGUGAAUAGUUGGAGUUCUGAUUGUAUAAUUUAUUUAGCUUGUGGAUUUAUAAAUGUUGUUCAUGUUUGUCAAGUUGGCUUGGGUUGCCAUAAAUGUGAAUUAUCGAGUGAUUUGAUAUAUGAUUAUAAACUGCACAGGUUUUAUAGAUGUGAAUUUGAUAGAAUGUUUUCAGUGUCCUCAAAUGUUAGUCUGGAUCCUGGAUUGGUUUGUGAUGAAAUUAUUUUAAUAUCAUGGAUAAUUUUUGAGGGGGCGUGACACUAUGCAUAACUCUCUUUACCAUUUCUGGCAAAGGUUCACAUUAUUGUUAGAACCCUUGCAGAUUCUAAACUUGGGGUUGAUCUCUUUAGGGGAUCGGCCUCCUUGGAACUCUAUAGGGGUUCCUCCCUCCAAGUUGCUACUCAAAGGCUGCAGAAAAGAUUCAUUUAUUGCUUAUCAAAAGAGAAGGAAUACAAUGCUAUUUAUAGGGUUUCUAAACCUUAACUCCUAAUAGGACUCCUACUCAAGACUCCUACUUCUAACCAACUCCUAAUAGGCUUCUACUCAAGACUCCUAUUCCUUUACAACUCCUAAUUCUUCUCUAAGAAAUAACCUCCUAACCCUAGCCGACCUCUUCACCUCUUU
rnacentral:lncRNA from 1 species